rnacentral:rRNA from 1 species
AACGAACGCUGGCGGCAGGCCUAACACAUGCAAGUCGAACGAACCUUUCGGGGUUAGUGGCGGACGGGUGAGUAACACGUGGGAACGUGCCUUUAAGUUCGGAAUAACUCAGGGAAACUUGUGCUAAUACCGAAUGUGCCCUUCGGGGGAAAGAUUUAUCGCCUUUAGAGCGGCCCGCGUCUGAUUAGCUAGUUGGUUGAGGUAAUGGCUCACCAAGGCGACGAUCAGUAGCUGGUCUGAGAGGAUGAUCAGCCACAUUGGGACUGAGACACGGCCCAAACUCCUACGGGAGGCAGCAGUGGGGAAUCUUGCGCAAUGGGCGAAAGCCUGACGCAGCCAUGCCGCGUGAAUGAUGAAGGUCUUAGGAUUGUAAAAUUCUUUCACCGGGGACGAUAAUGACGGUACCCGGAGAAGAAGCCCCGGCUAACUUCGUG